rnacentral:rRNA from 1 species
CCCUUAGAUGUUCUGGGCCGCACGCGCGCUACACUGAUGCAUUCAACGAGCCUAGCCUUGACCGAGAGGUCCGGGUAAUCUUUGAAACUGCAUCGUGAUGGGGCUAGAUUAUUGCAAUUAUUAAUCUUCAACGAGGAAUGCCUAGUAAGCGUGAUUCAUCAAAUCGCGUUGAUUACGUCCCUGCCCUUUGUACACACCGCCCGUCGCUCCUACCGAUUGAGUGUGUUGGUGAGGAGCUCGGAUUGGCAGCAGGUGGUGGUUCGCCACCGCCUAUUGCUGAGAAGUCCUCCAAACCGCNCNACUUAGNGGAAGGAGAANUCGUANCA